GUGGGUGAAGGUCUGGGUAGAGUCGAGAACCCAGACCUUAGUGCAGGUACCUCCAUAGUAGGCCUAGGGGAGCAUGGGCUGUGCCUCUUUGAGCAGCAGGGGGCUCAUCUGCAGCAGGGAGGACUCCUGCCAGAAAGCUGGCGGAAUCUGAACAUCCUAUUUCUGUCUCUUUAAGAAGAGCUACAUUCCAUAAACUGUGGCUUUCAAUGAUCUUAGGUGAUGAGCUCUGGAUAAACAAGGAGCCAUAAACCCCAGGUGAGACAGAAGGAGGCUAAAAAGAAGACAGAGACCCACUUCUGAGGAGGGCUUGGAGGCAGAAAAGGGAUGGGUCCAAAAAAGCACCAGGGCCCCAGGCUCACACACCACCAGUGUGUGCCUAGUACUGGAAGGGGCCAGAGGACAUUGGAUAUCCUGGAGCUGGAGUUCCAGAUACUUGUGAACAACCAUAUGAGAGCUGGGAGUCAUUGCUGCCAACCACUAAGCGCCCAGUCUCAUAAAAUGGUAUUAUUUCUC
rnacentral:lncRNA from 1 species